CUGGACUAUAUAUUGCUUGCAAAUCACGUAGUCUUAGGAGUAGGAGUUAUCGGGAUAGCGUAUAAGGCCACUUUGUUUUCUCUGAUGUUGCAUCGACAAGACUAGCCAAUAUCGCAGUCGACAAUUAUCGUGUUUUGUCAUCGAGGACACCAAGCUAGUGCCUAUUUUUGAAGUUGCAUACACGCUUUUGCAUAUGAUAUUUC
rnacentral:lncRNA from 1 species